rnacentral:rRNA from 1 species
UACGUAGGGUGCAAGCGUUAGUCGGAAUUACUGGGCGUAAAGCGUGCGCAGGCGGUUAUGCAAGACAGAUGUGAAAUCCCCGGGCUUAACCUGGGAACCGCAUUUGUGACUGCAUAGCUGGAGUACGGCAGAGGGGGAUGGAAUUCCGCGUGUAGCAGUGAAGUGCGUAGAUAUGCGGAGGAACACCGAUGGCGAAGGCAGUCCCCUGGGCCUGUACUGACGCUCAUGCACGAAAGCGUGGGGAGCAAACAGG